GACGAACGCUGGCGGCGUGCUUAACACAUGCAAGUCGAACGGAAAGGCCUGCUUUCCCUUGUGGAUUGCGGGUACUCGAGUGGCGAACGGGUGAGUAACACGUGAGUGAUCUGCCCCCAACUUGGGUAUAAGCCUGGGAAACUGGGUCUAAUUCCCGAUAGGACUGCAGGGUGGUGCCUGUGGUGGAAAACGAUUUUCUAGUGGUUGGGGAUGAGCUCGCGGCCUAUCAGCUUGUUGGUGGGGUAAUGGCCUACCGAGGCGGCGACGGGUAGCCGGCCUGAGAGGGUGGACGGCCACAUUGGUACUGAUAUACCGCCCAGACUCCUACGGGAGGCAGCAGUGGGGAAUAUUGCACAAUGGGCGGAAGCCUGAUGCAGCUACGCCGCGUGGGGGAUGACGGCCUUCGGGUUGUAAACUCCUUUCGACCGCGAGGAAGCCACCUGGUUGGAAGGGUGGUGACGGUAGUGGUAGAAGAAGCACCGGCUAACUACGUG
rnacentral:rRNA from 1 species